UUUUUCACAUUUUCGACAAUAAGAAAUUGUGUUUCUAAAAAAACUUAUAAGAGACUCAGCUCAAAUGCAACAUCCAUUUUCUGAAUUUGCUCUUGCCCCAACAUCUCUGCAUCUCCAGGAUCAAAGCAGUAGAUUCAGAUGAACUCAGAGCCUGGAGAGAAGCCAUGCUCUCUUAUCAGCUGGCUAGGACUUGUUCAGUCCAGAUGGAGCCUGCAGUACACCAGCGUGCACUGAAUUGGCAGAUACUCGACUACUCUUAUGGAACCACUGUUCUGGAAAUAAGCUGGGGCUGUUGCCCUAAGGGGCAGUCCAUUUUUAUAGGUAAGAAAAUCAAGGAGCAGGGAAAGGAAGCUCAUUUACCUCAGGCAUCAAAUGGUGAGUCCAAAGUGCUGAUUCAGAAGGCGGUAGGGUGAAUGAAAGCCUCAGGACCAUGACCCGUGGGUGGGCACUUGGGGUCACUUGCACUCAGCUAUUUCUGCUUCAAGAAGUUGAGUUAGGGUUCUUUUUCUGGAACUUGGGGAAUGAAAGAAGUGGUUGAGAAUAAUCAAAAUGGCCCUCUGAAUGAGUGAAAAUGAACUGUGUGCUCUGGGCGAGGUGCUUCCUCAUUGUAUUUCCUUUGAUCCUCACAACCAUGUAGUCUGGUAGGCAGGGCGGGCACAGGCCCACUCUACAGAGAACUCCAAAAUGGCAGGGGGGCUACCAAGGAGGGCAGGGCUCUAGCCAAGGCCAACCAGCCUCCCUCCCAACAAGGGGUCCACUGGCCAUACUUCCUAAACAGCUGACGGUCCCACACGUGUUCCUCGAGUACAGUCACCCCCUCUCCCUCCCAUCCAGGGUCCAGCACUAGGAACAGAGGAGAUGCUCAGAACCUGGGCACAAAUGUUUUCCAGUCUAUUGUAAAAUAUUUGAAGCCACUGUUUUAAACUGCCCUCCAAGGCCCCUCUUUCCACCUUGGUGUUCCUGUGUGCCAGAGUUGCUUCUAGCAGCUAAGUGGGAAAACAAGUCUUUCCCUUUAGCAGGAAACUAUACCUUGGUGGGGUCUUAGAAGAAGAGCACUACGAGUACAGUACUGGAGCAGCCACAAGCUUGCUGUGUGCCUUAAUUUCCCCAUCUGUCCCAGAUGAGCCUUAAGGCCACCUCAGGGCCCAUGACUUCUGACCCUUUUAUGGGUAGGGCUUCCAGUCUAUCCCAAGAGCAGGGCACUGAAGGAAUUCCUUUCUAGGCUUGCCAUCCACCAGCAUCCACACACAGACCCUGUCCCUGUGGUCCUCCCUGCUUUUCUCCCUAAAAAUGUCCUCAUUCAGCUUUGACCAGAUCAAAGGGACACACAUCACUGGAACUUGCUGGCCAGAAGCUGUCACUGUUAACUUACCUGCUGGUUACAGGUGGUUUAUAGCAGGUCCCAUGGGGAUAUAGAGAAUAUAAGUCCUAUGAAGACAG
rnacentral:lncRNA from 9 species